rnacentral:lncRNA from 1 species
GGUUUUAUGUUGGUUUUAGGUAUAGUAUGGUAUUAAGGCCUAUCUAACGCUAUUAGAUAAAAUAGAGUUAAAAAAAAAGUAUAUAGAAAUAUGCUUCUACGUUCUUCGGUGAAAUGCAAUAUGACGUACGGAAUACGUUUACCACACGUAACGCAAUCUUCCCGCAAUUUUAAACAAAACCUUAAUAAUAUAAAACUGAAGAACGCAGCUUCGUUGAGAAGCUCCUCCACAAAAUAUUAUUAAAGCCAAUUUGAUUUGACACUUCUAAAUUUUAAAAUAAAUUUAUAUU